UUAGGAUUCUGGGUAGAGCCCUGGGAAGCGCAGUGAGUCUGGGUCUUAAUUUUCAAGACACCAGGAUCUGUCUUUGAGUGAAAAGAUCAUGGCUAGGCAGCCACUAGGACGUCCACAGACUGAAGAUGAAAAGAAAUUUCACGCUCGGAAUCACAUCUUGCUGUCGCUCUUCUCGAUAAUUGUUUUCCUACCCUUAGGAGUGGUAGGCCUCUACUUCAGCAUCCAGGCCUACGGAGCCAAUCAGAGCAGUGACUGGGAAGACGCCUACCGGAACUCAUCUCGAGCUCUUUGGUUUGAUGUGUUGGCCAUACUAAUCUUUUUAGCCGUCCUUUAUGUAGCUUUCCUAGUCCUAUGAAAGCUAGACCCAGCAUCUACGGGCUCCUCCUCCAACAGACAUGCCCACUUACAUUUUGACCAGCCACCAAAAAGAAAUUCAGAGCUUCAGAGGUGCCCUUGCCAAGAAACCCACCAACCAAAAAACUGAACGUCCGGGGAAAAAAACUCGAUCCCAAGAACCAACCCCCUGCCUACACUCCACCAGUUCAUUCUCAUUUGUCCUCCACAGCUGUCUCCACCCAUCUUGGAGGCCCAUAUCUCAAGUUCUAAAUUUGCGUGAGCCACUGAGCUGCUCUUUCAUGAAAAAAAAAUCACAUUUCAUAGCCCAAUAAAAUUGAAGGGAAUAUUCCA
rnacentral:sRNA from 1 species